rnacentral:rRNA from 1 species
UACGUAGGGGGCAAGCGUUGUCCGGAUUUAUUGGGCGUAAAAGGCUUGUAGGUGGCCACGCCAAGUCGGAUGUGAAAUCUCCCGGCUCAACUGGGAGGGGUCAUUCAAUACUGGUGGGCUCGAGGCCGGUAGGGGGAAGCGGAAUUCCCGGUGUAGUGGUGGAAUGCGUAGAUAUCGGGAGGAACACCAGUGGCGAAGGCGGCUUCCUGGACCGGUUCUGACACUGAGGAGCGAAAGCGUGGGGAGCGAUCCGG